CUUGGGAAUAUGCAUCGGGCCGACUGAAGACUUAUUGUUCAGCUGCACUCUCGCUUGUGUGAGUUCACGCUGUAGAGAGUCUUCCGCAUCUUUAGCCCGUUUCUUUUCAUCUUCCAAAUCUUUGAUGCGAUGAGCGUGCGGAGACUUUGGAUCAAUACGGGCAUAGUUUGCCGGACUAUCAAGCCCACGUCCUGGUCAGUUUCUGCCGCAGCUAACUGCUCAUCGACUUCCCUAGCUUGAAUCCCUCAGAAAUAUCCGCUUUAUCCGCAGCCGCCAACGCUAUCAAAUUAUUGUCCGACUGGGACGACUGAGGUUCUGUUUGGCUCUCAGCCACACUUGGGGUUUCCGA